AUACGGAGGGUGCAAGCGUUAUCCGGAUUUAUUGGGUUUAAAGGGUCCGUAGGCGGAUCUGUAAGUCAGUGGUGAAAUCUCAUAGCUUAACUAUGAAACUGCCAUUGAUACUGCAGGUCUUGAGUAAGGUAGAAGUAGCUGGAAUAAGUAGUGUAGCGAUGAAAUGCAUAGAUAUUACUUAGAACACCAAUUGCGAAGGCAGGUUACUAUGUCUUAACUGACGCUGAUGGACGAAAGCGUGGGGAGCGAACAGGAUUAGAAACCCCUGUAGUCC
rnacentral:rRNA from 1 species